GAUGAACGCUAGCGGGAGGCCUAACACAUGCAAGCCGAGCGGUAGAGUUUCUUCGGAAACUUGAGAGCGGCGCACGGGUGCGUAACACGUGUGCAACCUACCUUUAUCUGGGGGAUAGCCUUUCGAAAGGAAGAUUAAUACCCCAUAAUAUAAUGAUUGGCAUCAAUUAUUAUUGAAAACUCCGGUGGAUAGAGAUGGGCACGCGCAAGAUUAGAUAGUUGGUGAGGUAACGGCUCACCAAGUCAAUGAUCUUUAGGGGUCCUGAGAGGGAGAUCCCCCACACUGGUACUGAGACACGGACCAGACUCCUACGGGAGGCAGCAGUGAGGAAGAUUGGACAAUGGGUGAGAGCCUGAUCCAGCCAUCCCGCGUGAAGGAUGACGGUCCUAUGGAUUGUAAACUUCUUUUGUACAGGGAUAAACCUACCCUCGUGAGGGUAGCUGAAGGUGCUGUACGAAUAAGCACCGGCUAACUCCGUG
rnacentral:rRNA from 1 species